AACGAACGCUGGCGGCAUGCCUAACACAUGCAAGUCGAACGAGAUCCUUCGGGGUCUAGUGGCGCACGGGUGCGUAACGCGUGGGAAUCCGCCCUUAGGUUCGGAAUAACAGUUAGAAAUGACUGCUAAUACCGGAUGAUGACGUUAAGUCCAAAGAUUUAUCGCCUGAGGAUGAGCCCGCGUAGGAUUAGCUAGUUGGUGUGGUAAAGGCGCACCAAGGCGACGAUCCUUAGCUGGUCUGAGAGGAUGAUCAGCCACACUGGGACUGAGACACGGCCCAGACUCCUACGGGAGGCAGCAGUGGGGAAUAUUGGACAAUGGGCGCAAGCCUGAUCCAGCAAUGCCGCGUGAGUGAUGAAGGCCUUAGGGUUGUAAAGCUCUUUUACCCGAGAUGAUAAUGACAGUAUCGGGAGAAUAAGCCCCGGCUAACUCCGUG
rnacentral:rRNA from 1 species